AUGAACGCUGGCGGCGUGCCUAAUACAUGCAAGUCGCGCGAACAGACGAGGAGCUUGCUCCUCUGACGUUAGCGGCGGACGGGUGAGUAACACGUGGAUAACCUACCUAUAAGACUGGGAUAACUUCGGGAAACCGGAGCUAAUACCGGAUAAUAUAUUGAACCGCAUGGUUCAAUAGUGAAAGACGGUUUUGCUGUCACUUAUAGAUGGAUCCGCGCCGCAUUAGCUAGUUGGUAAGGUAACGGCUUACCAAGGCAACGAUGCGUAGCCGACCUGAGAGGGUGAUCGGCCACACUGGAACUGAGACACGGUCCAGACUCCUGCGGGAGGCAGCAGUAGGGAAUCUUCCGCAAUGGGCGAAAGCCUGACGGAGCAACGCCGCGUGAGUGAUGAAGGUCUUCGGAUCGUAAAACUCUGUUAUUAGGGAAGAACAAAUGUGUAAGUAACUAUGCACGUCUUGACGGUACCUAAUCAGAAAGCCACGGCUAACUACGUG
rnacentral:rRNA from 1 species